rnacentral:rRNA from 1 species
AUUGAACGCUGGCGGCAUGCCUUACACAUGCAAGUCGAACGGCAGCACGGGUGCUUGCCCCUGGUGGCGAGUGGCGAACGGGUGAGUAAUACAUCGGAACAUGUCCUGUAGUGGGGGAUAGCCCGGCGAAAGCCGGAUUAGUACCGCAUACGAUCUACGGAUGAAAGCGGGGGACCUUCGGGCCUCGCGCUAUAGGGUUGGCCGAUGGCUGAUUAGCUAGUUGGUGGGGUAAAGGCCUACCAAGGCGACGAUCAGUAGCUGGUCUGAGAGGACGACCAGCCACACUGGGACUGAGACACGGCCCAGACUCCUACGGGAGGCAGCAGUGGGGAAUUUUGGACAAUGGGCGAAAGCCUGAUCCAGCAAUGCCGCGUGUGUGAAGAAGGCCUUCGGGUUGUAAAGCACUUUUGUCCGGAAAGAAAUCCUUGGCCCUAAUACGGUCGGGGGAUGACGGUACCGGAAGAAUAAGCACCGGCUAACUACGUG